UCGUUUUUUCGAUUUCUGGUUUUGAAUGGAAAAAAUAAAUCGGAUGAAUUGAAAAUCAUCAUUGACGAGAGACGAAGUGCUUGGAUAAUAGCUUUAAAAGGUGAUUUCUCUGAAAGUGAACUGAAAAAUGGACGAAUUUGUUUGAAACAUUUUACUUCCGGACGACCUGCUCAUCAUAAAGACAGAAACCAUCCUGAGUGGGCACCAUCUCAAAAUUUGGGUUAUAAUAUUGGUUUUUUCAAUUAAAAGAACUUCUGAUUUAGAAAGAUACGAAAGAGUAAAAAGGAGGAUGAAAGAGUUGAUGAGAAAGAUCAGACAAAUUUAUCGGCCGUUGCAGAGAAUGUAAAUUUGCACACACAUGAAAGUCACGAGAAUAUUCCCCGCACCAAAGAAGCAGGAACAACUUUUGAAUUGCAAGAUUUGAAAGAAGCCACUCUACUUCAAAUGCGAAGUAAGCUAAAUGUACUUAGUUUAUCCGAGGCUGCAUUUAAGGACAACGAUGAUAGGAGUAACUAUUUAACUGGCCUUCAUAGUUCCAAAACCCUUUUCCUUAUCCACACUUUGACUGAUCCGUAUUUGCUAACUCAUAGCAAUACAAAACUCUCCACCUUUCAACAACUUAUCCUGACCCUCAUGAAAUUGAGAUUUGACCUACAUUUUAAAU